rnacentral:rRNA from 1 species
AUGGAGGCGGCCGUCGCCGGGCACGACGACUCCACGGACCGCUCCUCCGCACCCUUCUCCCCCUUCGCCGAGAAGCUGGACUGCGUCGGCGGCGCCGGCUCCCCCACCCCCAAGAAGGCGCCCCGCAAGGUCCCCAAGACGUCCCACAAGGUGCUGGACGCGCCGUCCCUGCAGGAUGACUUCUACCUGAACCUCGUCGACUGGUCCUCACAGAACAUGCUCGCCGUCGGCCUCGGCACCUGCGUCUACCUCUGGUCCGCAUCCAGCUGCAAGGUUACCAAGCUAUGCGAUCUGGGGCCGAGGGACAGCGUCUGCGCCGUGCACUGGACGCGUGAGGGCUCCUACCUCGCCAUCGACACCAACCUUUUAAAUGCUAUACAUUUCAGUAGUGCUAUAUGA